rnacentral:tRNA from 1 species
CAGGAAAUAGUUUAAUGAGAGAAUAAUAACUUUGGGAGUUAUUGGUACAAGUUUAAAUUCUUGUUUUCUUGA